GGCGCCCGGUGGACCUGAGCGCGAGGCUGCUGCUGCUGCUGCUGCUGCUGCUGCUGCUGCUGCUGCUGCUGCUGCUCCGGUCACUGUCCCUCCAAAAGCAUAUUGUAAGGCUGGAAAGAGGACAGUAAAGAGCAAUGAAAAAUACAAGAACUACAGAAACGUUCAUAUGAAGAACUAUUAAAACCUUCCAGGUGUUUUAGCUGAAAAAACCAAGUAAGUGAAGAAGAAAUUUCAGCUCCCACCAGGACUGCGAUAGAAAACUGAAGACAUCUCUUUAUGAAAAACAACCAACCAACAAGACAGACAAACCAUGUGCACAGGAGAACAGGUUUCCACCAAAGUUUCCACUUAAAUCACCAGAAACCA